AGUCGAACGGUGUCUUCGGGCACAGUGGCGGACGGGUGAGUAACGCGUGAGAAUCUGGCUUCAGGUCUGGGACAACCACUGGAAACGGUGGCUAAUACCGGAUGUGCCGAGAGGUGAAAGGUUAACUGCCUGAAGAUGAGCUCGCGUCUGAUUAGCUAGUUGGAAGUGUAACGGACUCCCAAGGCGACGAUCAGUAGCUGGUCUGAGAGGACGAUCAGCCACACUGGGACUGAGACACGGCCCAGACUCCUACGGGAGGCAGCAGUGGGGAAUUUUCCGCAAUGGGCGAAAGCCUGACGGAGCAAUACCGCGUGAGGGAGGAAGGCUCUUGGGUCGUAAACCUCUUUUCUCAGGGAAGAACACAAUGACGGUACCUGAGGAAUAAGCAUCGGCUAACUCCGUGCCAGCAGCCGCGGUAAUACGGAGGAUGCAAGCGUUAUCCGGAAUGAUUGGGCGUAAAGCGUCCGCAGGUGGCAAUGUAAGUCUGCUGUUAAAGAGUCUAGCUCAACUAGAUNAGAGCAGUGGAAACUACAUAGCUNGAGUACGUUCGGGGCAGAGGGAAUUCCUGGUGUAGCGGUGAAAUGCGUAGAGAUCAGGAAGAACACC
rnacentral:rRNA from 1 species